rnacentral:rRNA from 1 species
GAACGCUGGCGGCGCAUUUAAGACAUGCAAGUCGAACGAAAAUUUACUGUGUGAAUGUUUAGUUACUAUAACACGAACUUUGUAAAUUUAGUGGCGGACGGGUGAGUAAUGCAUAGAUAAUCUGCCUUUUAGCGAGGAAUAACUACUGGAAACGGUAGCUAAUACCUCAUAAGACCACACUGUGGCAUCACAGAGAGGUCAAAGGAGAAAUCCACUAGAAGAUGAGUCUAUGUCUGAUUAGCUAGUUGGCAAGGUAAGAGCUUACCAAGGCGAUGAUCAGUAGCCGGGCUGAGAGGCUGGCCGGCCACAUUGGGACUGAGACACGGCCCAGACUCCUACGGGAGGCAGCAGUUGGGAAUAUUGGACAAUGGAGGAAACUCUGAUCCAGUGACGCCGCGUGAAGGAAGAAGGUCUUCGGAUUGUAAACUUAUUUUAUCAGGGAAGAAAAAAAUGACAGUACCUGAAGAAAAAGGACCGGCUAACUACGUG